rnacentral:rRNA from 1 species
UACGGAGGUGGCAAGCGUUGCUCGGAAUCACUGGGCGUAAAGGGCGCGUAGGCGGGGAGGUAAGUCGGGUGUGAAAUCCCUCGGCCCAACCGAGGAACUGCGCCCGAGACUGCUUCUCUUGAGUCCCGGAGAGGAAGAUGGAAUUCCCGGUGUAGCGGUGAAAUGUGUAGAGAUGUGGAGGAACACCGAUGUCGAAGGCAGCCUCCUGGGCCAGCACUGACGCUCAUGCACGAAAGCGUGGGGAGCAAACAGG